AUAUCAAUAAGCGGAGGAAAAGAAACCAACAGGGAUUGCCCUAGUAACGGCGAGUGAAGCGGCAACAGCUCAAAUUUGAAAUCUGGCGUCUUUGGCGUCCGAGUUGUAAUUUGCAGAGGGCGCUUUGGCAUUGGCAGCGGUCCAAGUUCCUUGGAACAGGACGUCACAGAGGGUGAGAAUCCCGUACGUGGUCGCUAGCCUCUACCGUGUAAAGCCCCUUCGACGAGUCGAGUUGUUUGGGAAUGCAGCUCUAAAUGGGAGGUAAAUUUCUUCUAAAGCUAAAUACUGGCCAGAGACCGAUAGCGCACAAGUAGAGUGAUCGAAAGAUGAAAAGCACUUUGGAAAGAGAGUUAAAAAGCACGUGAAAUUGUUGAAAGGGAAGCGCUUGCAGCCAGACUUGCCUGUAGUUGCUCAUCUAGGUUUUUACCUAGUGCACUCUUCUAUAGGCAGGCCAGCAUCAGUUUGGGCGGUUGGAUAAAGGUCUCUGUCAUGUACCUCUCUUCGGGGAGAACUUAUAGGGGAGACGACAUGCAACCAGCCUGGACUGAGGUCCGCGCAUCUGCUAGGAUGCUGGCGUAAUGGCUGUAAGCGGCCCGUCUUGAAACACGGACCAAGGAGUCUAACAUCUAUGCGAGUGUUUGGGUGUCAAGCCCGAACGCGUAAUGAAAGUGAACGGAGGUGGGAACCUUUCGGGGUGCACCAUCGACCGAUCCUGAUGUCUUCGGAUGGAUUUGAGUAAGAGCAUAGCUGUUGGGACCCGAAAGAUGGUGAACUAUGCUGAAUA
rnacentral:rRNA from 1 species